GAUGAACGCUGGCGGCGUGCUUAACACAUGCAAGUCGAACGAUGAAAGCGGGAGCUUGCUCCUGCUGGAUUAGUGGCGAACGGGUGAGUAACACGUGAGCAAUCUGCCCCGAACUCUGGGAUAAGCGUUGGAAACGACGUCUAAUACCGGAUACGACGCGCGAGGGCAUCCUCUGCGCGUGGAAAGAAUUUCGGUUCGGGAUGAGCUCGCGGCCUAUCAGCUUGUUGGUGAGGUAAUGGCUCACCAAGGCGUCGACGGGUAGCCGGCCUGAGAGGGUGACCGGCCACACUGGGACUGAGACACGGCCCAGACUCCUACGGGAGGCAGCAGUGGGGAAUAUUGCACAAUGGGCGCAAGCCUGAUGCAGCAACGCCGCGUGCGGGAUGACGGCCUUCGGGUUGUAAACCGCUUUUAGUAAGGAAGAAGGGGAGCUUGCUCCUUGACGGUACUUGCAGAAAAAGGACCGGCUAACUACGUGCCAGCCGCCGCAGUAACAC
rnacentral:rRNA from 1 species